GGGUUGUGAGGUUAAGCGACUAAGCGUACACGGUGGAUGCCCUGGCAGUCAGAGGCGAUGAAGGACGUGCUAAUCUGCGAUAAGCGUCGGUAAGGUGAUAUGAACCGUUAUAACCGGCGAUUUCCGAAUGGGGAAACCCAGUGUGAUUCGUCACACUAUCAUUAACUGAAUCCAUAGGUUAAUGAGGCGAACCGGGGGAACUGAAACAUCUAAGUACCCCGAGGAAAAGAAAUCAACCGAGAUUCCCCCAGUAGCGGCGAGCGAACGGGGAGGAGCCCAGAGCCUGAAUCAGUGUGUGUGUUAGUGGAAGCGUCUGGAAAGGCGCGCGAUACAGGGUGACAGCCCCGUACACAAAAAUGCACAUGCUGUGAGCUCGAUGAGUAGGGCGGGACACGUGGUAUCCUGUCUGAAUAUGGGGGGACCAUCCUCCAAGGCUAAAUACUCCUGACUGACCGAUAGUGAACCAGUACCGUGAGGGAAAGGCGAAAAGAACCCCGGCGAGGGGAGUGAAAAAGAACCUGAAACCGUGUACGUACAAGCAGUGGGAGCCUCUUUAUGGGGUGACUGCGUACCUUUUGUAUAAUGGGUCAGCGACUUAUAUUCUGUAGCAAGGUUAACCGAAUAGGGGAGCCGAAGGGAAACCGAGUCUUAACUGGGCGUUAAGUUGCAGGGUAUAGACCCGAAACCCGGUGAUCUAGCCAUGGGCAGGUUGAAGGUUGGGUAACACUAACUGGAGGACCGAACCGACUAAUGUUGAAAAAUUAGCGGAUGACUUGUGGCUGGGGGUGAAAGGCCAAUCAAACCGGGAGAUAGCUGGUUCUCCCCGAAAGCUAUUUAGGUAGCGCCUCGUGAACUCAUCUCCGGGGGUAGAGCACUGUUUCGGCAAGGGGGUCAUCCCGACUUACCAACCCGAUGCAAACUGCGAAUACCGGAGAAUGUUAUCACGGGAGACACACGGCGGGUGCUAACGUCCGUCGUGAAGAGGGAAACAACCCAGACCGCCAGCUAAGGUCCCAAAGUCAUGGUUAAGUGGGAAACGAUGUGGGAAGGCCCAGACAGCCAGGAUGUUGGCUUAGAAGCAGCCAUCAUUUAAAGAAAGCGUAAUAGCUCACUGGUCGAGUCGGCCUGCGCGGAAGAUGUAACGGGGCUAAACCAUGCACCGAAGCUGCGGCAGCGACGCUUAUGCGUUGUUGGGUAGGGGAGCGUUCUGUAAGCCUGCGAAGGUGUGCUGUGAGGCAUGCUGGAGGUAUCAGAAGUGCGAAUGCUGACAUAAGUAACGAUAAAGCGGGUGAAAAGCCCGCUCGCCGGAAGACCAAGGGUUCCUGUCCAACGUUAAUCGGGGCAGGGUGAGUCGACCCCUAAGGCGAGGCCGAAAGGCGUAGUCGAUGGGAAACAGGUUAAUAUUCCUGUACUUGGUGUUACUGCGAAGGGGGGACGGAGAAGGCUAUGUUGGCCGGGCGACGGUUGUCCCGGUUUAAGCGUGUAGGCUGGUUUUCCAGGCAAAUCCGGAAAAUCAAGGCUGAGGCGUGAUGACGAGGCACUACGGUGCUGAAGCAACAAAUGCCCUGCUUCCAGGAAAAGCCUCUAAGCAUCAGGUAACAUCAAAUCGUACCCCAAACCGACACAGGUGGUCAGGUAGAGAAUACCAAGGCGCUUGAGAGAACUCGGGUGAAGGAACUAGGCAAAAUGGUGCCGUAACUUCGGGAGAAGGCACGCUGAUACGUAGGUGAAGUCCCUUGCGGAUGGAGCUGAAAUCAGUCGAAGAUACCAGCUGGCUGCAACUGUUUAUUAAAAACACAGCACUGUGCAAACACGAAAGU
rnacentral:rRNA from 1 species